GCCAAAGUGAAUCUGCAGAAUUGGCAGCCAGUUCCUUGAAAAAAAGAUAAAACCAACCAUUGGGGCCUGCUUAUUUAAUGAGGAUUUAUGUCAUAUCAGGGAUACCCGGAUAAAUAUUUGUUGUGAACUCCAUUACCAUUCAGCUUCAGCUUCAUGAAGAGUGCUGUGUUCCUGAAUUGAGAAGCCCUUCUCUCAGUCACCCACACCCUGGUCAUCUCUCCAAUGGAUUACUGCAAUGUGCUCUACACGGCUAUCCUUGAAGA